AUUGAACGCUGGCGGCAGGCCUAACACAUGCAAGUCGGGCGAACGGCGGACGGGUGAGUAAUGUAUGGGGAUCUGCCUGAUGGCGGGGGCUAACUACUGGAAACGGUAGCUAAUACCGCAUACCAUCAUAUGAACACAUAUGGGAUUAGCUAGUAGGUGAGGUAACGGCUCACCUAGGCGACGAUGCCUAGCUGGCCUGAGAGGAUGAUCGGCCACACUGGGACUGAGACACGGCCCAGACUCCUACGGGAGGCAGCAGUGGGGAAUAUUGCACAAUGGGCGCAAGCCUGAUGGAGCCAUGCCGCGUGUGUGAAGAAGGCGUUCGGGUUGUAAAGUACUUUCAGUAGGGAAGCGUUACCGACAGAAGAAGCAACGGCUAACUACGUGCCAGCAGCCGCGGUAAUUC
rnacentral:rRNA from 1 species